rnacentral:rRNA from 1 species
GAUGAACGCUGGCGGCGUGCCUAAUACAUGCAGGUCAAGCGAACAAACAAGGAGCUCGCUCCUUUGAAUUUACCGGCGGACGGUUGAGUAACACGUGGUUAACCUACCAUAUAAGACUGGGAUAACUUCGGGAAACCGAGAUCUAAUACCAGAUAACAUUUAGAAGCGCGUGGUUCUAAAGUGAAAGAUGGUUUUGCUAUCACUUAUAUAUGGACCCGCGCCGUAUUAGCUAGGUGGUAAGGUAACGGCUUACCGAGGCGACGAUACGUAGCCAACCUGAGAGGGUGAUCGGCCAUACUGGAACUGAGGCACGGUCCAUACUCCUACGGGAGGCAGCAGUAAGGAAUCUUCCGCAAUGGACUGAAAGCCUGACCGAGCACCUCCGCGUGAGUGAUGAAUGGUUUCGGCUCGUGAAGCUCUGAUAUUAGGGAAGAACUGAUGUGUAUGGUCACUGUGCACAUCUUGACUGUACCUAAUCAGAAAGCCACGGAUAAGUACGUGCCAGCAGCCACGGGUAUUACGAAUGUGUCAAGCGUAAUCCGGAAUUAUUGCGCGUAAAUCGGCCGUUAGCUAGUUCUUAAGUCUGAUGUGAAAGCCCACGGCUCAACCGUGGAGGGUCAUUGGAAACUGGGAAACUUGAGUGCAGAAGAGGAAAGUGGAAUUCCAUGUGUAGCGGUGAAAUGCGCAGAGAUAUGGAGGAACACCAGUGGCGAAGGCGACUUUCUGGUCUGUAACUGACGCUGAUGUGCGAAAGCGUGGGGAUCAAACAGGAUUAGAUACCCUGGUAGUCCACGCCGUAAACGAUGAGUGCUAAGUGUUAGGGGGUUUCCGCCCCUUAGUGCUGCAGCUAACGCAUUAAGCACUCCGCCUGGGGAGUACGACCGCAAGGUUGAUACUCAAAGGAAUUGACGGGGACCCGCACAAGCGGUGGAGCAUGUGGUUUAAUUCGAAGCAACGCGAAGAACCUUACCAAAUCUUGACAUCCUUUGAAAACUCUAGAGAUAGAGCCUUCCCCUUCGGGGGACAAAGUGACAGGUGGUGCAUGGUUGUCGUCAGCUCGUGUCGUGAGAUGUUGGGUUAAGUCCCGCAACGAGCGCAACCCUUAAGCUUAGUUGCCAUCAUUAAGUUGGGCACUCUAGGUUGACUGCCGGUGACAAACCGGAGGAAGGUGGGGAUGACGUCAAAUCAUCAUGCCCCUUAUGAUUUGGGCUACACACGUGCUACAAUGGACAAUACAAAGGGCAGCUAAACCGCGAGGUCAUGCAAAUCCCAUAAAGUUGUUCUCAGUUCGGAUUGUAGUCUGCAACUCGACUACAUGAAGCUGGAAUCGCUAGUAAUCGUAGAUCAGCAUGCUACGGUGAAUACGUUCCCGGGUCU